rnacentral:rRNA from 1 species
UUGUAGUCUGCAACUCGACUACAUGAAGCUGGAAUCGCUAGUAAUCGCGAAUCAGAAUGUCGCGGUGAAUACGUUCCCGGGUCUUGUACACACCGCCCGUCACACCAUGGGAGUCGGAAAUGCCCGAAGUCUGUGACCCAACCAUUAAGGAGGGAGCAGCCGAAGGCAGGUCGGAUGACCGGGGUGAAGUCGUAACAAGGUAGC